rnacentral:rRNA from 1 species
UACGAAGGGGGCUAGCGUUGCUCGGAAUUACUGGGCGUAAAGGGCGCGUAGGCGGCUCUGUGAGUCAGGCGUGAAAUUCCUGGGCUCAACCUGGGGACUGCGCUUGAUACGGCAGAGCUUGAGGAUGGAAGAGGGUCGCGGAAUUCCCAGUGUAGAGGUGAAAUUCGUAGAUAUUCGGAAGAACACCAGUGGCGAAGGCGGCUCACUGGUCCGGUACUGACGCUGAGGUGCGAAAGCGUGGGGAGCAAACAGG